rnacentral:rRNA from 1 species
CAGUAGCCGCGGUAAUACGGAGGGUGCAAGCGUUAAUCGGAAUUACUGGGCGUAAAGCGCACGCAGGCGGUCUGACAAGUCAGAUGUGAAAUCCCCGGGCUUAACCUGGGAACUGCAUUUGAAACUGUCAGGCUGGAGUCUUGUAGAGGGGGGUGAAAUUCCAGGUGUAGCGGUGAAAUGCGUAGAGAUCUGGAGGAAUACCGGUGGCGAAGGCGGCCCCCUGGACAAAGACUGACGCUCAGGUGCGAAAGCGUGGGGAGCAAACAGGAUUAGAUACCCCUGUAGUCCCUGUCUCUUAUAC